GUGAUCAGAAAGGGAGUGGCUCCCUUGUCUGUGGAGUUGAAGAGAUUUCCCUUGUUCAAAGCUUAUGGGUGUCCUACGAUCUGCCAUUUGUUUGGAAGCUGGAGAACCAAGAAAGCUGGUAGUCUUGCUCCAGUCCAAGCUCAAAGACCUGAAAACAGGGGAGCCAACAGUGUAAACCCCAGUGUGAAGUCCAAAGGCUUGAGAACCAGGAGGGCCAAUGGUGUAAGUUGCGAGUCUGAGUCUGAAGGCUGGAGAACCAGAAGCACCCGUAUCUGAGGUGGGGAGAAGACCGAUGUUCCAUUUCAAGUACCUUUUGUGGUUUCCCUACAUCCUGUUCACAAUUCUGUGAGGAGCCCCUUGAUAUAAACUGCGCUUGAAUCAUCCCAGUUGACGUGUGUGUCAACUGUUUCCUGCUGGGACUCUUGAUAUUCCAACUUCCUGAACAUGUAAGGAAAAGCCCUAACAAUGACCUAUAAAACCCCACAAGAUCAGGAUCUGCAUCUCCGAUUACCCUCUAAUCCCUGAAUCCCUAUUUUACCUGAGUCAUACUGGCCUCUGUGCUGUGGGUCUUUGCAUGCCAACAGUCCUCUUGCCACAAGUUCCUACUCAAUAGUCUCUCCUCAAAUGCACCUUAACUGGGGGCCUUUUCCUUCCUAUGCUACAUAAAAUGGAAAGUCCCCAGCCCUCCGUAACUCUCUCACAAUGCUUUAUUUUUCUGCACAACAUGAAUAUUGUUGAUUUUUCUUUUUCGAUGGAGUCUUGCUCUGUUGCCCAGGCUGGAGUGCAGUGGCGCGAUCUCGGCUCAUUGCAACCUCCACCUCCCAGGAUGAAGCGAUUCUCCUGCCUCAGCCUCCUGAUUAGCUGAGCGCACCACCACACCCAGCUAAUUUUUUUGUAUUUUUAGUAGAGAUGGCGUUUCACCAUGUUGGUCAGGCCGGUCUCAAACUCCUGACCUCAUGAUCUGCCCCAGCCUCCCAAAGUAUUGGAAUUACAGGCGUGAGUCACAGCGCCCGGCCAUGUUGUUGAUUUUUCUAUAAUUCACCCCUCCCCGUUAGGAUGUAAGUGCCUCAAUGGCAAAACUUGAGUUUCAUUCACUGCUCUAGACAUGGCAUCUCAAACAGUGCUUAGCCACAUGGAAUGUACUCAAUGAACAGGCUAGUGGUUAUGAGAAUCACCUGUCUGGAUUCCAAUCUGUGCUCUACCACUUACUAGCUGGUGAACUCAGGCAAGCAACCUAGACAUUUCCAUGCCAGUUUUCCCAUCUGUAAGUUGGAGACAGUAAUAGCACAGUUUGCAAGCUUAUAGUGAGGACGCAGUUAAUAUUUAUAAGGCACUUUGAAGAGCGCCUGGUCUAUAGGAUGGGCUAGCGAAAUGUUUGAUCUCUUUUUGUUAAUAUAUUUUCAUAUUACAAUUAUUUGGUAUGAAAAGGUAUGGCCCCUACUGAAAAUAAAUAAAUUCACAGGAGAAUAUCUAAACCUCUACGCACCUAGUUACAUUACACAUAAACAUAUAUAAAGUAAAAAUGACAGAAUUACAGAAAGAAUUUGUUAAUCUACCAUGCUAGUGGAAGACUUUAAUAUACCUCUAUCACUAAGUCAGGUCG
rnacentral:lncRNA from 10 species